rnacentral:antisense_RNA from 1 species
UUUGGGGCUAAAAGUUGCGGACUGGUAGCUGAGGCGGCACGAGAGUAUAGGCGCGCGGGGUCGUUGCCGGGGGCACAGAGUGAGAACAAGCAAGGGAGCCCUGCUGAAUUGCAGCUUAGGAAGCCCUGAAUCCUGGAGAUAUGUUCCUGACCCUUCCUUCUUGAAGGGACAGCUGUGUAACCAUUCAACCAUCUGGCCAUCAGUUUCCACAUCUGUGAAAUCAACUUCUGCCUCAUGGAGCCAUGAGUUCCCAAGUGAAGGCAGUGAGGGGCUGUGGUGUGAUUCAGGAGGCUGAGAAUUAUGCAGUGGGUGCUGUCACCUUGAAGACAUCAGCGCGAUCAGCCAGAUCAUCAUGGUACUGCAUUUCCUGGACACGAUCAUAAUUUUCUUAAUACCUCCACCAACAUUUCAAAUAGUGUCUCUAAUGCCCCAGAGAUUUUUAUGCCCCUAAGGUAGUUUUCUUUCUUUUGUGAAGCAGAAGAAGGGAAAUUGUUAAAGCGAAUUAUUUUAACUAAAUUUAUUUCCAUAAAACUAUCUUUGUCUUUAUAUCUCAUGGAAAGUGUUAGGUAGCCUCAGGAUUAUAUCUCAGUUGGAAAACUGUAGAUGUAAACCUUCUUGCUAUCUACAUACUUACAUAUUUUUCUGUUGUUAUUUAAUUAUGAAUAGCAUUUUGAUUACAGUAGAAAUAAAAUACAUUAAAUGACUAAGCUCAGAAAUAAGAAAAAAAGGUCAAUGGUGAUCAUUUAUUUGGAAACUGUGAUAUUUUAAUGAUAUUAAUGGUGUAAUUGACAUUUAGUUAAACAUAUUUCAACAUAACUAGAGCACUUUAACUCUUAUGGUCCAUUUAAAAUGUAAUCAUACAUUUGUGUAUUUCUAGUUAAUGUAUCAAACUCAACUGAGUAAUCAAUGUACAUCAUUUAUUUUGCUCCUAAGUUAAUACACUAAGUUAUACUUUAAAAUUACUAAUUUGCUGCAAUAUCCAACACUCUCUUUUAAGUAUUACAUCUGGAGAAAAGGAUAUAAACAUUUCAUGACACCAAACCCAAGUAUUUUUGUUGCCCUUGGCAGUGUCAGUUGAACAGACAGUGUCAUUUAAUGUUUGAGACAGCAUCUGAAUUCCUUUUAUUCUUAAAAUUCUAUUUUAAAAUGCAGUUUUUGGAAAGUUAAUAUGAAUAGAAAAAUUUCUAACAUUUUAUGUGUAUGUGUUUUGUUUGGUACAGGCUGAGCAUCUCAAAUCUGAAAAUUCAAAAUCUGAAAUGUUUCUAAAAUUCAACUCUUUUGAGUGCUGAUAUGACGUUCAAAGGAAAAGCUCACUGGAGCAUCUCAGAUUUUGGAUUUUUGGAUUUGGGAUGUUUAACCAGGGUAAAAUAUAGAAUGCAAAUAUUCCAAAAUCUGAAUAAAAUUGAAAUCUGAAAUGCUUAUGGUUCCAAGCAUUUUGGAUAAGGGAUAAUUAAGCUGUAUAACUUAUAAAACUGAAUAUAACAAAAUUUCCCAACAUGUGGAAAAUGAUGUCUUUUUUCAAAAAUGUCAAUAGCAGAUACAUGGUACAGUAAGUUAGGGGAAAAAUGAGGCUUCAUAUCUUCUAGUUUCCUAAUUAAAAGGAGCCCAUUCUAGGUUGGAAGGAAGUGUCAGUAAGAUCAUUUCUCCUAUUUGAAAAUCAUACAAAGCUUGUCAGAGUUACUCAGGCCAGGAGUGUAGCUGGGAGUGUAGCUAAAUGAUAUCUCCCCACAUCUAUAUAAUAAGCUAUUACCUGCUUUAAAAGGAAAAGCUCUCAGCAUGACUUUAAUGUUGCAUUUCUGCAAUACAGCUUGAAAAGCUCUUCUCAGGGUUGAACAGAGCAUGAAGGUAAUGGUUAUUAUCUACUCACAUUAAAAAAAAAAAAAAGAAAGAAAGAAACCACCACAGAAAACUACUUACUGUCUUUAGGCUCUACUUUCAAAAGUGCCCUUUAUGAACGCUUUUACACUGUUGGUGGGAGUGUAAAUUAGUUCAACCGUUGUGGAAGACAGUGUGGUGAUUCCUCAAGGAUCUAGAAUCAGAAAUACCAUUUGACCCAGUAAUCCCAUUACCAGGUAUAUACCCAAAGGAUUAUAAAUCAUUCUAUUAUAAAGACACAGGCACACGUAUGUUUAUUGCAGCACUGUUCACAAUAGCAAAGACUUGGAACCAACCCAAAUGCCCAUCAAUGAUAGACUGGAUAAAGAAAUUGUGGCACAUACACACCAUGGAAUACUAUGCAGCCAUAAGAAAGGAUGAGUUCAUGUCCUUUGCAGGGACAUGGACAAAGCUGGAAACCACCAUUCUCAGCAAACAAGAACAGAAAAUCAGACACUGCAUGUUCUCACUCUAAGUGGGAGCUGAACAAUGAGAAAACAUGGACACAUGGAGGGGAACAUCACACACUGGGCCUUUUGGGGGUGGGGGGCUAGGGGAGGGAUAGCAUCAGAAGAAAUACCUAAUGUAAAUGACAGGUUAAUGGGUGCAGCAAACCACCAUAGCAUAUGUAUACCUAUGUAACAAACCUACAUGUUCUUCACAUGUACCCCAGAAUUUAAAGUAUAAAUAAAUAAAUGAAUAAAUAAAUUUUAAAAAAGUG